rnacentral:rRNA from 1 species
AGAGCGAACGCUGGCGGCGUGCUUAACACAUGCAAGUCGAACGCGCAGCAUUCUGUAGCAAUACAGGAUGUGGGCGCGUGGCGAACGGGUGCGUAACACGUGGAUAACCUUCCUUCAGGUGGGGAAUAACCCAGCGAAAGUUGGGCUAAUACCGCAUAAAAUUACGAGGGUACAUGCUCUUGUAUUCAAAGGCGCAAGUCGCCAGAAGAGGGAUCCGCGGCCGAUUAGCUUGUUGGCGAGGUAAUGGCUCACCAAGGCAAUGAUCGGUA